rnacentral:rRNA from 1 species
GGGGGAUAUUGCGCAAUGGGGGCAACCCUGACGCAGCAACGCCGCGUGAAGGAUGAAGGUUUUCGGAUUGUAAACUUCUUUUAUUAAGGACGAAACUUGACGGUACUUAAUGAAUAAGCUCCGGCUAACUACGUGCCAGCAGCCGCGGUAAUACGUAGGGAGCAAGCGUUGUCCGGAUUUACUGGGUGUAAAGGGUGCGUAGGCGGCUUUGCAAGUCAGAUGUGAAAUCUAUGGGCUCAACCCAUAAACUGCAUUUGAAACUGUAGAGCUUGAGUGAAGUAGAGGCAGGCGGAAUUCCCCGUGUAGCGGUGAAAUGCGUAGAGAUGGGGAGGAACACCAGUGGCGAAGGCGGCCUGCUGGGCUUUAACUGACGCUGAGGCACGAAAGCGUGGGUAGCAAACAGGAUUAGAUACCCUGGUAGUCCACGCUGUAAACGAUGAUUACUAGGUGUGGGGGGUCUGACCCCUUCCGUGCCGGAGUUAACACAAUAAGUAAUCCACCUGGGGAGUACGGCCGCAAGGUUGAAACUCAAAGGAAUUGACGGGGGUCCGCACAAGCAGUGGAGUAUGUGGUUUAAUUCGAAGCAACGCGAAGAACCUUACCAGGUCUUGACAUCCAACUAACGAGGUAGAGAUACAUUAGGUGCCCUUCGGGGAAAGUUGAGACAGGUGGUGCAUGGUUGUCGUCAGCUCGUGUCGUGAGAUGUUGGGUUAAGUCCCGCAACGAGCGCAACCCUUGCUAUUAGUUGCUACGCAAGAGCACUCUAAUAGGACUGCCGUUGACAAAACGGAGGAAGGUGGGGACGACGUCAAAUCAUCAUGCCCCUUAUGACCUGGGCUACACACGUACUACAAUGGAUGUUAACAGAGGGAAGCAAGACAGCGAUGUGGAGCAAACCCCUAAAAACAUUCUCAGUUCAGAUUGCAGGCUGCAACCCGCCUGCAUGAAGAUGGAAUUGCUAGUAAUCGCGGAUCAGCAUGCCGCGGUGAAUACGUUCCCG